AACAAAAUAUUUACAUAUGUAUGUGCAUCUACAUAUACUACAUAUAGAUGUAAAUAUGUAUGUGUAGUGGUGUGUAUACUACUUAGUAAUUUUGUUGAUAUAUGAUUUGCGUUGCCGCUCAGCUGUCGAAUCGCUGCUGCUCGUCGGAAUUUUAUUAUUGUGUUAUUAUUUAUUAAGUAAGUUCGCAAAGGUCAAGUGGGCGAUGUUUAUUUUGCUGGGUUACUCAACACUGCACAACUUACACAUCUGCAUACAUGUACAUACAUAUGGUAUGUUCAUAUGGUAGUUACGCCUGCCGCCCACUUUUUUUUUGCCAUUUGCCUUGCGCGCCACUUACGCUCUCCCGGCGCACCACUUCCCCCGUUUCAGAUUUGUUUGGUGUUUUUUAUUGCUUAUCCACUUGUUAAAUUUUAAAACGUUUGCCGUUGGCAUUCAAAUAUGUAGUUCCCUUUUUGGCAGUCUAGCAUUGUUUUCGUCGCUGUCGUUGAACACUUUUGGCGCUCUCUUACACGCACUCUCUCUCUCUUACUCUCUCUCUCUGGAAUGCCUCUCUUCGCUCAUCCUGCGCUCGCCCACGGCAAAUGUUAUCGAUUUUUCAGCCUGCCUGCCCUCAACAAUUUGCCUCGCAUUCAACACGGCUCUGCGAGAGCUCCGCAAUCAAAAAUUAAAUUCACCGUUUAAAUUGUUGCCCAACAGUUGAGUUUUACUGAAUUGCUUAGCAAAUUAUCUCCAUUAUCAAGCGCGCUGUGCACCGUUAUAUCAAAAUCAAAUUGUUAAAAUACUAGACAUUCCUAAAAAACCGGUUCCGUUCUCAAAAGAAAUUCAUGCUAUUAACAAAAUUUACGCUUAGAACGCUAGAAAAAAGAAAGAAAAAAAAA